rnacentral:sRNA from 1 species
UAUAUUUAGAAGGUGCAGUAUUCUAGUCAUUUGCUAUCUUUUAGGAAGAUGAAGUAAUGGCAUCGACGGGCAUAUCUGUGAAGUUUCUGGUGCUUGCCUUGGUUGCCCAAAUUGGGGUUUGUGCUGGAAGUUAAGAUUUUUGGGCGAGUUAUAACGGCAUAUAACCCACGUCCCAAUUUUCGUGGAGACUCAACAGGGUGAGAAAUCACUCUCUGAGAAAGAACCUGCAUUGCGGUAAAAGUCGUGUGCAGCGUAGCCUAUCCUGAGUGGAUAUUUGGGGAUUAAGUAAUAACGCGAAUUCUUUCUAGGCCAAGAGAGUUUACGCCUGCUUAUGAAACAAUAUUUGCAAAACGGAAGAAUAAAAAGUAGAAAAUGUUAAGGAAAACUUCUAGACUGUUGUCGAGGCAGACAGGAUAAGGAUUAUAGUGUGUUCUGAGUGGCGAUUCGGUGUUAUGUCCUGCUUAAAAGGAAACUGCUCUUUGCGGUGACGCGGAGUGCGGGAAUGGGAAAUCCGACCGAACCUAUGACACAAGGUUUACUUAUCUUGUUACCUUCUUA